AUAACGCCUCGCUAUGCCACAUCCCCACGGAACUCAGCAGUGAUAAAUCUUAAGCAAUAAGCGCUCUCCUCCAGCUUGACUUAGUUAUGGUGAUUAAAGCCGGUAAACUUCGUGCCAGCCACCGCGGUUACACGACGGGCUUAAAAUAAUAGAAUUCGGCGUAAAACGUGGCUAGAGAUCUCACAUGAGACCGGAAAAAAGACAAAGAUGUAAAAUUCCAAAACUUUUUAAGAAGACCAAUAGGUCUCACAAAACUUGACCCACGAAAGCUAAGAAACAAACUGGGAUCAGAUACCCUACUAUGCUUAGCCAUAAACCUAGGCACAACAUAACAUGGAUGCCCGCCAGAGAACUACAAGUGAAACUUAACUCAAAGGACUUGACGGUUCCCCAUAUCAGCCUAGAGGAGCCUGUCCUAUAAUCGACGAUCCACGAUAAACCUCACCCUCCCUUGCUUAACCCAGCCUAUAUACCGCCGUCGCCAGCUCACCUCAUGAGAGAUGUAAAUUGGGCUAAAAGGUCCUACCACAAAAACGUCAGGUCAACGUGUAGCUUAUGGGGGGGAAGAGAUGGGCUACAUUCUCUAAAUUAGAGAAUUACACAAGGAAAUAUGAAAUUAAAACCAGUAAGGUGGAUUUAAGU
rnacentral:rRNA from 1 species